UUAGAGUUUGAUCCUGGCUCAGGACGAACGCUGGCGGCGUGCCUAACACAUGCAAGUCGAGCGAAUGAAGUUCCUUCGGGAACGGAUUUAGCGGCGGACGGGUGAGUAACACGUGGGCAACCUGCCUCAUAGAGGGGAAUAGCCUUCCGAAAGGGAGAUUAAUACCGCAUAAGAUUGUAGUACCGCAUGGUACAGCAAUUAAAGGAGUAAUCCGCUAUGAGAUGGGCCCGCGGCGCAUUAGCUAGUUGGUGAGGUAACGGCUCACCAAGGCGACGAUGCGUAGCCGACCUGAGAGGGUGAUCGGCCACAUUGGGACUGAGACACGGCCCAGACUCCUACGGGAGGCAGCAGUGGGGAAUAUUGCACAAUGGGGGAAACCCUGAUGCAGCAACGCCGCGUGAGUGAUGACGGCCUUCGGGUUGUAAAGCUCUGUCUUCAGGGACGAUAAUGACGGUACCUGAGGAGGAAGCCACGGCUAACUACGUGCCAGCAGCCGCGGUAAUACGUAGGUGGCGAGCGUUGUCCGGAUUUACUGGGCGUAGAGGGAGCGUAGGCGGAUUUUUAAGUGAGAUGUGAAAUACCCGGGCUUAACCUGAGUGCUGCAUUUCAAACUGGAAGUCUAGAGUGCAGGAGAGGAGAAGGGAAUUCCUAGUGUAGCGGUGAAAUGCGUAAAAGAUUAGGAAGAACACCGGUGGCGAAGGCUCUUCUCUGGACUGUAACUGACGCUGAGGGCUCGAAAGCGGGGGGAGCAAACAGGAUUAAAUACCCUGGUCACUCCCCCCCCGAAAACAAUAAAAACUAGGGGGGGGGGGGGGUUGUCCUU
rnacentral:rRNA from 1 species